rnacentral:ncRNA from 16 species
AGUCUGAAACUGAGGGAAGCACGGUGAAAAUCCGUCACAGCAGUCACUACCGUAAAGUCGGAUCGCUCGUCAGACAAUGCAGGUGAUAAACGUUUUCGGGCAGUGGAGAACGUAUGCCGACGAUAGC